CGUAGUCGUCUUCGUUGAAGUCUUUCCACAGAUCUUUCCUCAUUUUGACAAUUCCGGUGAGGGCAGAUUGAAGCAUCUGUUUGUUCGAAGCAUCUGCCUUCAAUCUGCCGUCACCGGAAUUGUCAAAAUGAAGGAAGAUUUGUGGAAAGACUUCAACGAGUGACUCUG
rnacentral:pre_miRNA from 1 species